rnacentral:rRNA from 1 species
UAGGGCGCGAGCGUUGUCCGGACUUAUUGGGCGUAAAGAGCUCGUAGGCGGCUUGUUGCGUCGACUGUGAAAACCCGCGGCUUAACUGCGGGCUUGCAGUUGAUACGGGCAGGCUAGAGUUCGGUAGGGGAGACUGGAAUUCCUGGUGUAGCGGUGAAAUGCGCAGAUAUCAGGAGGAACACCAGUAGCGAAGGCGGCUCGCUGGGCCAUUCCUGACGCUGAGGUGCAAAAGCGUGGGGAGCAAACAGG